rnacentral:rRNA from 1 species
ACGCUAGCUACAGGCUUAACACAUGCAAGUCGAGGGGAAACGGCAUUAAGUGCUUGCACUUUUUGGACGUCGACCGGCGCACGGGUGAGUAACGCGUAUCCAACCUUCCCAUGACUAAGGGAUAACCUGCCGAAAGGCAGACUAAUACCUUAUGGUCUUCACUGACGGCAUCAGAUGUGAAGUAAAGAUUUAUCGGUUAUGGAUGGGGAUGCGUCUGAUUAGUUAGUUGGCGGGGUAACGGCCCACCAAGGCAACGAUCAGUAGGGGUUCUGAGAGGAAGGUCCCCCACAUUGGAACUGAGACACGGUCCAAACUCCUACGGGAGGCAGCAGUGAGGAAUAUUGGUCAAUGGGCGAGAGCCUGAACCAGCCAAGUAGCGUGCAGGAUGACGGCCCUAUGGGUUGUAAACUGCUUUUGUAUGGGGAUAAAGUCAAUCACGUGUGAUUGUUUGCAGGUACCAUACGAAUAAGGACCGGCUAAUUCCGUGCCAGCAGCCGCGGUAAUACGGAAGGUCCGGGCGUUAUCCGGAUUUAUUGGGUUUAAAGGGAGCGUAGGCUGGAGAUUAAGUGUGUUGUGAAAUGUAGACGCUCAACGUCUGACUUGCAGCGCAUACUGGUUUCCUUGAGUACGCACAACGUUGGCGGAAUUCGUCGUGUAGCGGUGAAAUGCUUAGAUAUGACGAAGAACUCCGAUUGCGAAGGCAGCUGACGGGAGCGCAACUGACGCUGAAGCUCGAAGGUGCGGGUAUCGAACAGGAUUAGAUACCCUGGUAGUCCGCACAGUAAACGAUGGAUGCCCGCUGUUGGUACUUGGUAUCAGCGGCUAAGCGAAAGCAUUAAGCAUCCCACCUGGGGAGUACGCCGGCAACGGUGAAACUCAAAGGAAUUGACGGGGGCCCGCACAAGCGGAGGAACAUGUGG